CGCCAGGCAGCACUGCAUGUGUCAGGCUGCUGAACUCAGGCUUGGCUCACAGACGACGCUUGCUACGUUUAGAUACAAAAAAACCUGUCUGAAAACGACGGUUGUUUUUCAUAGCUGAGGUAUUUUGGAGGAUAUGGAUUCAGGUAAUGUUUGAAUUAUGAAUUAACCGGUAAAAAUGUAUAUUGUCAAUACCUGUUCACUUUUUUGCUGAGAGACUCAGAGAAUUUUGUAAAUUUUCAGUGCUAAUAUAUCAAGGUCAAAAAUACAAUUACUAAUAAUUAUCAUGCUGAUUUUGAUGGUACUUAUGAUGUAUUUUAAUGAGUGUUUUUUCUGUUUUACACUAAGGAAAGCCUCAUUAUUUGUGGGGAAAAUGAGAUGAUUGUGGCACAAUUGAAUCCUUGAGCAGAUAUCGAAGCUGGUGGGAGGCUCUCCUUGUGGCCAGUUCCAAACGAAGUGCAGUCACUGACGGUUGGCUGGAGGGGGGCUGAGCAAUGGUGAAGAUCGAGUUGUAUGAAGGCUCUAUGGCAGAGCAUUUAAUGCUGAACACUGCUGUUAGAGAGAAUGCAUUAUUAAUGUGAGGGGAAACUAACGGGGACCAGCAGCUCCUCGGGCUGUGAAGAGGAUGGUUGGCGUCUCUGAGGAAGCAACACCACGCCUCAAAGAAAUCACAGCCCUGAAACUCCAGAUGAAGACUAGACCUUUAUUCUGUACGCGGAGAGAGAGCUGGAGAAUCACCAGGAUGAAUAUGCAAAAUGUUUCAAAUCCCUGAGCUGCGGAGGAUUUU